AAGUGCCUAUUUCUAAUUCCUUCAAAACUAAAUAUUGAAAGAAACUGAGGAAUGGCUCUUUUUUUAAUAGCUAGAGAAAUGAUCAUCCACUCUUAGAAAAUCUGCACACACAGUGUUACUGACAAAAGAUGUGUCUAGGUUGUCUUCAUGGGGAAGAAUCACUUUACACUCUUGUUCUCAGGCUACUGUGAAUUAAAUGCCUUCAUAGUUGAAAAGAGGUUUCCCAGUAGAUUUCAGUUCAAAUAUUACCAUAACAUCCUAAGCCUGUAAAGUUUAUAAGAUUAGUGCUAGUCAGUGCAGGUUCUUAAAUCUCUUACAGUGGAAACUAGGUGUAACAGAAAAUGCAAACAGGAACGGCAAGGUAUGGUAAAUUGGAAAGGAAUAAACGGAAGUCAAAUGAGGACUGAGAAAGUAAUGGAAGGAGUAGAAGGAAAUGUGCUAUCAUUUCAGCCAUCCAGUAAUGAUAAAAUGUCAAAGGAAUCUAUUGGACAAUUUAGCAGCGAAGCCCACGGGUAUGACAGGGAAAGUAAAACAACAGAUGACAAACUAAACUUUACAAGUACUAGUAUUUAGGUAAUGUUACAGAAAUACUUGGGGAAUAGGGAAUAGCUAUAUGUUUAAUGAGAUCGGUUGAAAGAUGUACUUUAUUCUGAGAAUAUGUGGCUAGCCACUGAUGCACUAAUUUUCAGGCGAGAACCAGCAAGCAUCAUUAUUGACUGUGGCCUGGGGAAAUGAAGGACUUAGCCACAUACACAUUCUUACUGACCUUUCUAUUUAAUAUAAGAGAAAUUAAACUACACCAGUGAUUUUCAACCUUUUUCAUCUCAUGACACGUGAACUAAUUAAAAUCCUGUGGCACACCAAAAAAGUUGUUUGGUUUUUUUUGCUGAUCUGACAAAAAAAAAUAGUUGAAAAGAGGAUUCCCAGUAGAUUUCAUUUCAUUCACACCGGACAACUGUUGUGUUGGCUGUUGUCAUGUUUUAAUUUGACAGUCUUAGGGAAGAGAGAUCAGGAUUCCUGACUAAAUAGUCAGGUAUUCUAUGUUUUAAGAGUUCUUGUGGCAUACCAGUUGAAAAUCCCUGAAAUACACCAAUGUCAAAUGGGGUUUGAAUUUCUGGACCCUAGUUCAGAUCACCUUGACGAAGAAAAUGCAUUUAAGUUCAAAGAAAAAGCACCAACUUAACAGUAAAACAGCUAUGAUAGAAAUGAGGGUAACCAGUAAAUGAGUUAUAUGUAAUAUGCAGAGUAUGGGCAAUCAAGUAACUUUAAAAGUACUUCACAGGCUUAUCAAUGCUGUACUUCACAGAGAACAGGUAUCAUUUAUACUGUGGUGGUUUGACUUAAUAUGGGCUCUAUGUUGGAGAAUUUUUAGUGUUUAGAAAGAGUUUGGCAUAAAUUAAAAAUUUGGUCAGUUAAACGAGAGAGAAAGCUGGAUAUGGAUUUAUACCUGACUGUGAUGAGAGAAUUCCAGAUGUUUACAGAGGAGACUGACUAAAUUAGGGAUGUUGCAAAGUUCCAAGUUUGGAUUUUUGAUAAAUUAAUCCUAUUGAAGUGAAGUAAACCAAGGAAAAGGUCUGAAAGCAGUAUGUGGUUGUAUUACUUUGUUAAUGAAAAAAUAUUUUUAGCCCCAAUUAUGAAAAGUAGGACCUGUUUGGAGAGUGGUGAAGUUAGCCCUCUUGUGAACUAGGUGAGACACUUCCCCCACAGCUUAAAUUAGAGGUGCAGACCGUAAUAGGAAGAGAGAAGGAAUAGUAUAAUGGGGUGAAUGCCAACAGAGGGUAGUUCACAGGAAGGUGUUGAAGCCCAGGGUGAAUGAGGAUUAGAAGGCCUGGUGCUCUCUGUUCCCGUCCUGAACAUGCCAGAUUGUUUUUUUAAUGUCACACAGGA